rnacentral:rRNA from 1 species
UACGAAGGGGGGCUAGCGUUGUUCGGAAUUACUGGGCGUAAAGCGUGCGCAGGCGGCUUCUCAAGUCAGGGGGUGAAAGCCCAGAGCUCAACUCUGGAAUUGCCUUUGAGACUGAGUGGCUUGAGUACGAGAGAGGUGAGUGGAAUUCCCAGUGUAGAGGUGAAAUUCGUAGAUAUUGGGAAGAACACCGGUGGCGAAGGCGGUUCUCUGGGAAUGUACUGACGCUGAGGAGCGAAAGUGUGGGGGAGCGAACAGG